AAAAUGUAAGCCUCCAAAAGUUGAUAUAUGUGCCAACUUAAAAAACAAAUAUGAAAGAGAUUUUCCUCCUCUCAGCUGUGUAAAGACAUCAACAACUAAAGUUUCAAGUGGCAACAAGGGCAUGACAGAACCAAAGGACAUCAAAAAGCGAAAAAGUGUGACAUUGUCGGCAAGUUUGAUUAAUCUCCCCUUAACUCAUGUUCUCCACAAGUUCUCAAAGAAAGAAAAGGACAACCUUUUUAGGCAUCUUUGUACAAAAACAAUGGAGAUACAAACAAGGGGCCUUCCCAGAAUAGCUGCGCAAUCCUAUGCCUUAGCCAUUGACCAGGAUAAACCAAAACCCUUGUUUAAGUGUAUACAUUCUGCCACAAAAGUGCCAAAACGAACAAACAGAGUUGUAGUACUGUUUGAUGAAAAGUCUUUUUGUGAAAUUGACAGUGAUUUGCAACAUAAAUAUCUCCGCUCUCUCCCUAACCCUUCUGUCACUGUGGUCUCUACACCAAAGGCACUUCCCAAACACACUUCCAAGGUAAGUAAGUGUUCAGGCUCACCACGUAACAAAGUCGGUGGCAGUGCGGAAAGCAGUACUCUUUCCUUUGACAAAGAAAUUUUACAACAUGUUUCUUUCCCAAAGAUAAAUCCACAAGAAAGCUCAUUAUGCUUCAGAAACAUCCAGGAGCCAACUAAUUCAUUUUACCCUUGUCUACAAGGCACUGAACAAAAUGAUAUAAUUCUUUCAGAUUUAAAUUUACAGAUGACAUCAGAAA
rnacentral:lncRNA from 1 species